rnacentral:rRNA from 1 species
GAUGAACGCUGGCGGCGUGCCUAAUACAUGCAAGUCGAGCGAACGGACGAGAAGCUUGCUUCUCUAAUGUUAGCGGCGGACGGGUGAGUAACACGUGGAUAACCUACCUAUAAGACUGGGAUAACUUCGGGAAACCGUAGCUAAUACCGGAUAAUAUUUUGAACCGCAUGGUUCAAAAGUGAAAGACGGUCUUGCUGUCACUUAUAGAUGGAUCCGCGCUGCAUUAGCUAGUUGGUAAGGUAACGGCUUACCAAGGCAACGAUGCAUAGCCGACCUGAGAGGGUGAUCGGCCACACUGGAACUGAGACACGGUCCAGACUCCUACGGGAGGCAGCAGUAGGGAAUCUUCCGCAAUGGGCGAAAGCCUGACGGAGCAACGCCGCGUGAGUGAUGAAGGUCUUCGGAUCGUAAAACUCUGAUAUUAGGGAAGAACAUAUGUGUAAGUAACUGUGCACAUCUUGACGGUACCUAAUCAGAAAGCCACGGCUAACUACGUG